GACAGAGGUGCCGAGCGUUAGGCGGAAUCACUGGGCUUAAAGCGUGUGUAGGCGGGCGGGCAAGUACCUUGUGAAAUCCCACGGCUCAACCGUGGAACGGCUGGGUAUACUGCCUGUCUUGAGCCAACUAGGGGCGAGCGGAACAGACGGUGGAGCGGUGAAAUGCGUAGAUAUCGUCUGGAACGCCAAAGGUGAAACAGCUCGCUGGGGUUGUGCUGACGCUGAGACACGAAAGCCAGGGGAGCGAACGGGAUUGAUGACUACCUA
rnacentral:rRNA from 1 species